rnacentral:tRNA from 2 species
GGACCUGUAGCUCAGCGGUAGAGCGUUCGAUUCACAUUCGAAAGGUCAGAGGUUCGAAACCUCUCAGGUCCA